CACCAGCAGACCUAUUUCUCAAUCAUAAUUUUUCAUUUCUCUCUCUUUGCCAAAGUCUUUUACAGUUCCUUGCCACUGGGGGCGAUCCAACACAGAUAUUGCCGUGGCCAGUCCUUGUGCUUUGCAAGCACAGUCCUGGGGAGCUCGUGACAGUUCAACCAGCUAACUUGAAGAAAGAAAUGAAUACAGUCAGGCCACAUAAAAACAACAUCUACUGUGUUUCACUAGAAAAUGAGAUAUUUAUCUCUGAGGAAGAAGGAAAGAUGAUAGCAACUUUAAGAUUUAAAUUGAUCCAAGUAUAUGAUGCUAAAGAUCCUAAAUGGUUUCAAAUUGCGGAAGAUUAUGUUGUAAUUUGUAUAUAUUGCUUCCGUAGGCUGCUGAGGAAGCUAAUUGCUAUACAUCCUGUGGUUAAGUUAUCAUCUUUCUCAAUGACUGAAGAUCAUAAUUUUAUCUUUAGCCAUUAUUUAAAUCCUAGGAGAAUGAAGAAAGGGUGAGGAAAGCAGAAGAAUCGGAAAAUCAGCCACAUGAGAACUCCAAACUGUAUUACUGUCUAUUUCAUCUUUGAGGACUCUUUCAGGACCCUAGCUAAGAAUGUGGCUCUGUUGCUCUAGGAAAAGAGGGCCAAAUAGCAUCUUCCCAAUGCUCUGUAGCUCUGUGGUGUUGGAGAGAGCUAGACUCAGGUAGGCAGGAGCAUGUAGUGGGACCAGGAAGCACUUAUUUCCAUGCUCAGCCCUGAUUACUGUUCCCUGAAUUCAGCAACGUUAGGCUCCACUGUGAGAUUCUUUCAGCAUGAGAGACAAGAAGGGCCAGGGCAAUAGGCUGGGAAAGAGUUGGGCAAAAAAGGGUGAGGUAGAAGAGUGGCAGUAGUUUGAGGGUUUUGGUUUUCGUUGUGGAUUAUUUUACAUGUGAGGUUUUACUUGGCCUGUUUAUAAAAUAAAACCAGCAAAAUGUAUGGCCUAGUUAAACCUUCAUACAACAACAUAACAGGGUAAUGUAAUCUGUACCCUCAUUGAAUUGCUGUUAAUUUUGCUUGCUAAAUUAGAAUUAUUCACGCACUCUGUGCAAAAAUGCUUUUUCAGCAUUUUUUGGUGCAUCUGCUCUUGUGUGGUGUAACUGUAGUAGUAGUAAUGGAAAAGCUAUCCUGAAAAAUUAGAUUAAACUCUACUGAAAUCGUUACCACUGUAUCUUUUAUUCUUCUAACAUCGCCCUGUGAACACACCAGCAGCCCUGUGUUAGGUAAUGUACAUGUUGGUGGGCACUCAUCAUCCCAGAGCACAGGGCCAGAUCUGGUGAGGAUCUGCAGACACUUGGAGAUAGGAUAUAUUUGCUAUUGUUCUCAAGGGCAAAAUGAAGUAACUGAUGGGAUUGGCAAGAGCACUGGUUGCAGCUUUAGCAUCAGAAUACCUUCUAAAUCCGUCCCUGAUCCUAGAUAGACAAGAACAUCAAAGAGGACUGGAGAAAAAUGUGUGUACCUGUGUCUUUCCCAGAGGACCUCAAAGGAGAAAGUAACUUCCCCAGAAUUAGCCAGAGAAUCUGAAGCAGUGUUGGACUUCGGACCCAGAUCUUGCAGUAUGUUGCCAUAAACACAGAACAUAGAAAUGCUUUUGGACAGUGAAUGGGGAAAAGGGUCAAAAUUCAAAGUAGUUCACAACUGUGUCUGAGAAAAUAUUUGCAGAUACAUCCUCUUACUCAUUCCUCUGUCAGUUAGUAGUAAGUGUUGCAUUUGGGGCUCUGUAAGAGCUGAAAGAUUUAUUUGGCUGUAUAUGAUUUAUUUAUUCAGGUAACUCCCUCUGGUACUAUUUAUGUAGUUGUGCAUUUUCAUAUUCGAGUAACUUAGUGAAAUGCAACGUGUUGAUGUACAACUGGAAUGUUAAGCAAAUAAACAGUGUGUUGGGCCCCACUUUUGUUGAUUAGGUCAUGCUUUAAUUAGGUUUUCUGUAUGAAUUCAUAUCUCUUGCUGGAUAUUAGGACAGGCAGCAGGCUGCCACAACUUGGCACUGGGACUUCUGGGUUACCGCCAGUCCUUGUACACAAAAACUGUCUUGAUAGAAUGGUGAUAAGGGCUCGGGGGAGAUAAGGGCUGUGUUUCGGCCCAAUGGCUUGACCUUGCUCUUGUUGAUCCAACAGCAAGAGUCCUAUCGAUUUCAGAGUGUUUGGGACACAUGAAUACAUUUUCAUUCUGGAGAGCUGCAUGCAGGCAGAUGGGAAGAACUGCUGGUGCUGAUGCAGAGUGCAGUUUGUUGAUACACAGGUGCCUGUUCUUGCGCGAAUCAGUCCUUCCUUUGGCACGG
rnacentral:lncRNA from 1 species